UUCCGGUUGAUCCUGCCGGAGGCCACUGCUAUCGGGCUCCGACUAAGCCAUGCGAGUCUAGGGGCUCCUUCGGGAGCACCGGCGGACGGCUCAGUAACACGUGGACAACCUACCCUCGGGUGGGGGAUAACCUCGGGAAACUGAGGCUAAUACCCCAUAGGUCUCGGAUACUGGAAGGUUCCGAGGCUGAAAGCUCCGGCGCCCGAGGAUGGGUCUGCGACCUAUCAGGUAGUUGGUGGUGUAAAGGACCACCAAGCCUGCGACGGGUACGGGCCCUGAGAGGGGGAGCCCGGAGAUGGACUCUGAGACACGAGUCCAGGCCCUACGGGGCGCAGCAGGCGCGAAACCUUCGCAAUGCGCGAAAGCGCGACGAGGGGAGCCCGAGUGCCCUUCCUUCGGGGAGGGCUUUUCUGGAGCCUAAAAAGCUCCAGGAAUAAGGGCUGGGCAAGACGGGUGCCAGCCGCCGCGGUAAUACCCGCAGCUCAAGUGGUGGCCACUAUUAUUGAGCCUAAAGCGUCCGUAGCCGGACCCGUAAAUCCCUGGGUAAAUCCCGGCGCUCAACGUCGGGAAUUCCGGGGAGACUGCGGGUCUUGGGACCGGGAGAGGCCGGAGGUACUCCCGGGGUAGCGGUGAAAUGCUGUAAUCCUGGGGGGACCACCUGUGGCGAAAGCGUCCGGCUUGAACGGCUCCGACGGUGAGGGACGAAGGCCAGGGGAGCGAACCGGAUUAGAUACCCGGGUAGUCCUGGCUGUAAACGCUGCCCGCUUGGUGUUGCCGGUCUUUCGGGGGCCGGCAGUGCCGGAGCGAAGGUGUUAAGCGGGCCGCUUGGGAAGUACGGCCGCAAGGCUGAAACUUAAAGGAAUUGGCGGGAGAGCACUGCAACGGGAGGAGCGUGCGGUUUAAUUGGAUUCAACGCCGGGA
rnacentral:rRNA from 1 species